ACAACAAUCUGAUUCAUCUUUGUGCAUGUAUUACCUCCUCUCUAGCAUUUAUUUAGAGGAAAAUGAUUGACAUAAGUAGAAAUGUGAAAUUCUAUUUUCCUUCAAGAUAUCUCCCUUCUCACAAUUCCUUCCAAAGAAUGUUUUGAGUAUUAAAAAUAUGUACAACGAGACAACCAUAUGUUAAAAGGUAUUCAUCCCUAUCUUGGCAUGGGUAUGAUCUCAGAGAUUUAUUUCAAGCUGAAAAAAUUUUAGGUGUUAAAAAAAAAAAAACCUGUGAUGAAGCCAAUUAGUAAACACCUAUAUCUAGUAUUAUUAAUCUGCUUUUGAUUUAAUCAAAAUAGAAAUAAAAUUGGAUAACUCUACUCAAACUAAAGUAAAACAUUUUAUGGUUUAAGGGCUUACGGUUUUAAUAUUUUCAAAAGGUGAUUUUCUACUCAUAUUUAUAAGCACCCAGAUGGACAUUUGGCAAAAUUAGAUAUUAUAUAUGAACUAUGCCUGUUUAAAAAGCAGAACAAGAUGUCCCACUGGUUAAGGCUGAAAGUCAGAAGGAGAUGACAAAAGGAUAAUGCUACUUACCAAACAGAUAACACUUAUUAACGAUGGUUUAUUCUUUGUCAGGUGCAGUACUAAGCACUGUAGAGUACACUGUGCCUUUAAAAGACACAAUAGUACUAUUUUUGUGUUCAUUUUAAAUACAAGAAACUGAGUCACAAAGAGGCUAAGACUGGCUAAAGGCGAGAGUCUUGCCUCAAGUAAAUAGUAGAAUGGGGACUGGCAUGUCAUUUACUAUUUUUAAAAGCACAUACUUUAAAUUGAACUUAUUCAAUAAUUUCAUCCACGAACAUUUAUUAAGACCUCUGAAGUGCUGAGUGGAGCUCAAGAUUCUGGUGAUACAGGAGUAAGCAAGAAAGGCAAAACCACUGCCUGCCUCAAACAUAUUCUUUUGGGAGCAGAAGGAAAAUCAAUACACAAACGAAUGAACAGGAUUACUGCAGAUGGUGAUAAGUGCUAAAAUGAAAAAGAUGUUGAGCCAAGGAGUAGGAGAAAAGGACAGCUGACAAUUCCCGUACGUGGUUCUUAAAGGCCUUACUGGGGAGGUGACAAUAAAAGCAGGUCCAGAGCCAUGAGAAGUCCUCUGACACAAGGGACCUGGAGACAGAGCCUUCUGGAAAGCCCUGCACAGGAGCCCUGUUGGAAGGUCAGAGAAAGAGAAUGAAUUGCAGGGCAGCUGGAGCAUAGUAGAAGGGCAGUCACAUCCUCUCAGAGACCUAAUGUAGCAGCAGCUAUCACUACUAUCUAAUUCCAGAACAUUUUCAUCACCCCAAAAAGAAAACCUGUACCCAUUAGCAAUCACUUCCCAUUCCUAACAUACCCGAACUUCUGGCAACCACUUAUCUGUGUUCUGGUUGUAUGGAUUUACUUUUCUGGAUAUUUCAUAUCAAUUGGAUCAUACAUAUAUGGUCUUUUUUGUCUGAUUUCUUUCACUUAGCCUACAGUUUUCAUGACUCACCCAUGCUAUCCCAUGUAUCAAGAAGAAACAAUUUGAACAGAUUGAUUACUCGUAUGAAACUGAAUUUGUAAUUAAAAAAAAAAAACAACAGCAAAUCAAAGUCCAGGACUGGGCAGCUUCACAGAGGAAUUUUAUCAAACAUAUAAAGAAGAGCUAAUAUUUAUCCUUCUCAAACUAUUUCCAAAAAAUGAAGAGGAUAGAACAUUCCCAAAUUCAUUCUAUGAGGCCACCAUUCCCUGAUACCAAAACCAGACAAAGGCACUACAAAAAAAAAAAAAUUACAGGCCAAUAUUUUUUAUGAGUAUAGGUGUAAAAAUCCUCAACAAAAUUUUAACACACCAAAUCCAACAUAAAAGGAUAUAAAAAGGAUCAUACACCAUAAUCAGUUGGAUUUAUUCCAGGGAAGCAAUAAUGGUUCAAUAUUCACAAAUCAAUCACUGUGAUACACCAUAUUAACAAAAUAAAAUAGAGCCUCCAUCAGUCUAGGGCCUUGAGUGCCUCUGAUGACCAGAACCCAUAAACAGAUUAUAUUAAUCUGCUUGGGCUGCCACAACAAAAUACCAUAAAUUGAGUUAUUUAAACAGCAGUUAUUUAUUUCUCAUUGUUCUGGAGGCUGGAAAAAUCUAAGAUCAAGACUUGCGCUGGGGGGAAAAAAAAAAUUAAACAGGGAGUUCCCAUUGUGGCUCAGUGGGUUAAGAACCUGACAUAGUGUUCAUAAGGAUGUGGGUUUGAUCCCUGGCCUUGCUCACUGGGUUAAGAGUCCAGCAUUGCCACAAGUUGCAGCAUAGGUUGCAGAUGCCACUUGGAUCCUGUGUGACUGUGGCUAUGGCAUAAGCUGGCAGCUCCAAUUCAACCCCUAGCCUGGGAACUUCCACAUGCCACAGAAGCAGCCCUAAAAAAGGGGAAAAAAAUAUUUCCACUGAUUCACUUUCUGGUGAAAGUCCUCUUCCUGGCUUGCAAUGGUCACUUUCUCAGUGUCCUCAUGUGGGGAGAGAAUAAGAGAGAAAGGAAGCAAACUCUCUGAUGUCUUUUCUUUUAAUACCACUAAUCUCAUUAUUAGGGCCCCGUCCUUCUGACAUUAUCUAAAACUAAUUACUACUCAAAAAAAAAGUCUCCAUAUCUAAAUACCAUCACUUUGGGGUUAGGGCUUCAAUACAUGAAUUUCAGCAGGGGAACAAAUUUCAGUCCAUAGUAUAGACUCACAAGAGAUGUGCAACGUGCAAGAAAAAUAAACAUUCUUUUUGUCAAUGCACAAGAAAUGAAUCCAUCUUGACUGAUAUAAUAUUUUAUUCUAAGUUCUUUGAAAAGCUAUUAGGGAGGUUAAUAAGCUGCAUGAUACAAUUUAAUUUACGUUUAUAAAUAUAUGUAAAAAGGAGUUCCAUUGUGGCUCAGCAGAGAGGAAUCUGACAAGUAUCCAUGAGAAUGAAGGUUUGAUCCCUGACCGCACUCAGUGGGUUAAGGACCAGUGUUGCUGUGAGCUGUGGUGUAGGUCACAAACAUGGCUUGGAUCCAGCAUUGCCUUGGCUGUGGUGUAGGCUGGCAGCUACAGCUGCGAUUGGACCCCUAGCCGGGGAACCUCCAUAUGCUGUGGGUAUGGCCCUACCAAGACAAAAAAUAAUAAUAACAAAUAAAUAAAUAAACAAAAGUAAAUGGAUUGAGGAGGCAAAACAUAGCCACAGAAAGAAAGAAAACUUCCAAAGGGUUACAAGGAUCCAGACAAGAGUUAGUGGUGGUGCCUUGAGCUAUAAUAACAAAAAUUACACAGAAAUGUACAGAAAUCAUUAUAACCUGCAAUAGAUAAAUGUGGGGAGGGUGUAAAGGAGAGUCAGUCACUAUCUCCACGUCCACAGUAGUACCGCCAGCCUGCAGAAUUGUAGGGAGGAUAAAGAAAGCUUACUCAUAAAAGAAUCUAGAACAUCACACCCUCAGGGUUCAGUAAGGUCCGCGCCCAUCCUCUCCUCCCCUUUACCUCCACCCUCAUCACUGCCACUCUGUCCCAGGGCUGAAAUCAACAAUUAUAUUUUUUUCUUCAGGUCACAUCAUUGUCUCAUCAUUGUGCGGGAUCAGCGUAGGAAAGCCCAAACUUGGCUCACCACAUUUUUUACCCAGGGCUGGCUCACGAACUUGAUUUCUGUUUACCUCUCCUCAACAAGGAACUUUGUCUACCGCUCACAAUAAAUGAUGCACAAUUCACAGUGAGGCAGCUCUACAGGGGUGAAAAACCAAAUAAGAGUGGCUCGCAGUGCUACUGAUACAAUUCUCUUACUUAUAAUUAUUCUUGACAACCAGAAAUUUGUGGAAAGAGAUGUUCAGAUUAUGUUAUUUCCAGUAGGCUUGUGGCCACUUGACUUUAGUGAAGGGAAUUGGAUGUUCCUUCUCUGUAUAAUAACCAAAGUUGUUUUUUUUUUUUAACAGAACAAUCGAUUUUUCCUAUAAACAUUGUUCAUUUCGAAAUUCUAUUUGCCUAAUUGUCUACUGCAGCAACAAGCUGAAAACCAUAUCAUCGUUUUAGCCAUGAAAUAUCUAGUGAUUUAGACCAGGCCCAGGGCAACAAGACUAUAAUUGUUGACUUUAGGCGUCAAACUCCAACUGGAAAUGAGGGGGCAAGGGAAAUAUUCCUGUACAAAAUAUUUCUGGGCUCAAUGCCUUGUUGAUAAGAGCAUAUUAUUUAUGGAAGCUUUUUUUAAAAAACUGAUGCUCAGAAACAUAAAAUAGUUUUUAAUCACUGCAUGCAUUAAAAGAGAGAAUUCUGGGAAUUCCCAUUGUGGCUCAGCGAUAACAAACCCAGCUAGUAUCCAUGAGGAUGCAGGUUCGAUCCCUGGCCUCACUCACUGGGUUAAGGAUCUGGCAUUGCUGUGAGCCAUGGUGUAGGUUGACAGCUGCAGCUCCAAUUUGAUCCCUAGCCUGGGAACUUCCAUAUGCAGCACCUGUGGCCCUAAAAAGAAAAAAGAAAAAAUUGUUUUAAGAAGUAAAAGAGAGAAUUCUUCUCAGCUUUGAUAAGUCUAGGCAGCCUCAGCAGAGUAAAGGUAGCAGUGUUGAGUAUCUGCACAGAGAUGGGGAGAGGGCAGUCCCCAGUCUCCUCAAAACCAUCUCUCUCACGCUCACACAAUCAUCUUGAAAUCACUGAAACCUCUAAAUGCCCAGAUACCAACUUGAGAGAGAGAAGGGAAAGGAGUGAGUUUUUGAAGGGAGAUAAACAGCCCUGGAUAGGAAUUAAACUGAAUAUUUAUCAAAAGAGUCUGAGAAAAUCUAAAACAUUUAGAAUUGUCUCUUGUUGCUAACAAUGAAAAGGACAUCUACAAGCAAUGGAAGUGGAAUUCAUAGUUCAUGUAUGAGCAUAAAGAAAGAGAAGUUUCUUUUGCACCACUGCA
rnacentral:lncRNA from 1 species